rnacentral:rRNA from 1 species
UACGGAGGGGGCUAGCGUUGUUCGGAAUUACUGGGCGUAAAGCGCACGUAGGCGGCUUUGUAAGUUAGAGGUGAAAGCCCGGAGCUCAACUCCGGAACUGCCUUUAAGACUGCAUCGCUUGAACGUCGGAGAGGUAAGUGGAAUUCCGAGUGUAGAGGUGAAAUUCGUAGAUAUUCGGAAGAACACCAGUGGCGAAGGCGGCUCACUGGACUGGUAUUGACGCUGAGGUGCGAAAGCGUGGGGAGCAAACAGG